rnacentral:lncRNA from 1 species
AUUCAUCCUUACGCAGAAGUACAUUUGCGGGGAGAGGGGCAAAUCUAGAGAACUAGUCAUUUUCCUGAAUCUGCAAUAAAAAGGCAGAAACAGAAUCACAAAAUCUUAGACUGCACUUUGAAUAGAGAAGAGACAUUAAAAUAAUAAAAUGUGGAAAUAUUUGCCUUUGCUUAAGAAGUUUCAGUGUAGAGAAGAUGAAGAUGGCUUUUCAGAAUAUCCCAUGAAUUCAGGCAGUGAGAAAAGUCCCAGAUCCAGAAGGGAGGAACAGAAGAAAAGUGAAACAACCCAGGGAAAGGAGAGUCAUUACUAUUUUCAUAAUAUUAGGAAUAAUGCUAUGUUUAAUUGUCAUUUACCUCUUGCUUUCUCAUAUGAACCUACUCCCUUGAAUUGUUAUGUCUUAAUUAAAAAAAUUAAAAACUUUGGGACAAUAUAUUCUACAAAUGCUCGACAACGAUUAAAAUUUUAUUGCAUCAAGUUCAUUAAGCAAAUCCUAUCGGAAUGUGAGUUUAUUGUCAAUUUUAACUUGUUCUAGUGUUUCAAUUACAAUUCCAUUUUGAACUGUAAUAAGGUAGCUGAUAAAUGACAAUGGUUAACAACUGCUAUUAAAAGUACCCAGGGCAGAACUCCAUAAAUGUAGAACAAUUAGAGUAACAAAUGAGAGUAGCAAUAUGCUAUUAUUUUUACAUUAUUCAGUUGAUUUAUUGCAGCAUUUUAAUUGUAUCUGAAAAAAAAAU